rnacentral:rRNA from 1 species
GACGUAGGGCGCGAGCGUUGUCCGGAUUUAUUGGGCGUAAAGAGCUCGUAGGUGGUUUGUCGCGUUGUUCGUGAAAACCGGGGGCUUAACCCUCGGCGUGCGGGCGAUACGGGCAGACUUGAGUACUGCAGGGGAGACUGGAAUUCCUGGUGUAGCGGUGGAAUGCGCAGAUAUCAGGAGGAACACCGGUGGCGAAGGCGGGUCUCUGGGCAGUAACUGACGCUGAGGAGCGAAAGCGUGGGGAGCGAACAGG